UUGGCUAAUUGGCUAAAAUAGCCUCUUGCCAAACGAGGCUUUAACCUUAAUUUCUCAGAGAAUUUCACAGUAAGCAUUCAAAAGCACAAAACAAGGAUUGAAGAUAUAUCAGAAAACAUGUACGAGGGUCGGGUUAUUACAUAUACUACAUGCAUUCAAUACGCGGAAGCUUAAGUAAAUUCCAAGCAUUCUAUAAUCAUAACAACAUUGUUAAUGUUACAAAAUCAUAUCACAUGCAUUAAUAAAUUCAUUGAUUUUAAGACCUGAAUCUAUAGCAUGUGAUCGAUAAGCAAUAAUAUCUAAAUUAUUACAAAUUCAUGCCUUUUUGGCUACAUGUUUCCAAGAUUAUACUUGGUUACAACAAAAGUGGGUGUUAAGCUCCAUCAGCUCCAACAUCCUCUCAAGGUAUCCCUUUUCUAUCCCCUUAGCGGAGGCUAUCAACACCUAAAAUGUUUUUUCACAUAGGGUGAGCUAAAAGCCUAGUAGAGACAAGUUUAAUAAUAUAUAUAGUGUUUAAUGAAACUAUCACUGCUAGAAAAUGAGGCUUUUGACACGGAAUUUUUUGCGACGGUUUCAAAAUCGUCGCAAAAAGUAACCGUUUGCGACGGCAAAAAAAACUGUCGCGAAAUUAUCUUUUUUGCGACGACAUUUGAUUGUCGCAAAAAAGGCACCGACUAAAUACCACUAUUAGAGAUGGAAAAUCGAAGACUGGCAAAAAGUAAUAUUAUACGUGAUGGUAUGUUACUCGUCUUUCUUUUUUUUUUUUGGAACGCUCUUUGUUAACCCAUCGCAAAAAAUUUUAUUUUUGCAAAAAAAAAAUAAGGAUGUAAAACGAAGGGUUGAGACCACUUGAAGAAGAUGAAUAACUUUCUAAAACGACGUCGUUUUGGUGAGGUAGUUCAAAAUAAUAAUAAUAAAACAAAAGCCUCUAUUCUCUUGGUUACGUAUUUCAGAAAAGAGAGAGAGAGAGAGAGAGAAGACGAAGAGCUAAGGAGUCACUGUCCUGUCCCCUGCUCGUCAGCCGCUGCCGCCGAGGAGUGGUUGAGUUCAGAUUCAAGAAGCUGGUAUUCAUUCAACAGAUUCAACAGAUGCAGAGAAAAGAACUGAAGUUUAAAAAGAAGCAAGUAAAACAUGUAAAAGAAGUUGCUAAGUUUGAAAUAUGUCGUAAUAACAUACUACAACAAGAGCUAUGUUGCGUAAGGCAGGAUUUUGUUCAAUUUUCGCAUCGCCUGGAUGUACUAGAUAACUGUUUCUCACAUUGGGGUGAAGGUAGUGAUGACCUAGAAAAGAGCAUACACAAGUUUUUUCCCCCUUCUUUGUUGUUGCGUUGCUACGAGAGCUUGAAGGAGUAACUAUACCACCUGAAAGAAUCUAUGGUCUGGGAACUAGGUGAGAACAUUUUUAAGUAUAUACAUAUAUAUUUUGUGUGUUAUUACAAAUGAAAAUAACUCUGGCUGGUCUUUUGAGCACCUCUUUGAAAUUUCAGAUAAUCAACUUAUUUAAACUAUUCUUAUUUGUAUUACCAAACAAUCUAACACAAUCUUUUUUUUUCUUUUUGAUUUUUUAUGCUUAUUUGUUUUCCUACAUGUUUUUGAUGAGAGCAAAUGGUGAGUCAGAGUUUUCUUUGAUCAUUGCCACACUCUGGACAACCAGUCAAUCGCUCCGAUUGUCUUUCUGAAAAUCCGAGCAUUUCGAGAUGCAGCCCUGUUGAGUACGUGAUGAUAUCUUCGCAUAUCGAUAUUGGAGCUUACUAUUGAUAUCAAAACAAGAUGUAAUACAUAUGUUUUUUUUUAUUUGUAUUAUCGAUACUUUUGUUUUGUUUUAGAUACAAAAAUUUGAGUUAUUGAAUAUAAAAAAUUAUUAGUA